rnacentral:lncRNA from 1 species
AACGUUAGCUUUCCGAUAGCUCUGUGGACAAGCCCGUGGCAGCUUCCUCCCUGCCCAAACACAGCCAGAUUUCGGAAGUUUUCCCGGAGCACAGAUGAGAAGAUGGAGGAGAGGGUCAGAAAAAUCCUGACCGCCUCGUGUGACAAGAUAUCCCAACUCUUUCUUCUGAAGGACAUGCCCGAGCA